rnacentral:miRNA from 1 species
UCGUCCUCCCCUUCGUCCGAG